rnacentral:rRNA from 1 species
CCUGAGAAACCCGAAAGAUCGAAAGAGGAGACUCAUCGUCAGCGGAUACGACUUGCGUGCGGUUCGCGAUGUUCGUCGCAAGUAUUUAUUUAUUUGCGUACGGCACUCGUCCGCUGCGUCAUGUUCGUUUACGUCGGCUUGCACUUCUCCUCAAGUAGAACGUCGCGACCCGCUGGGUGUCGGUCUAAGGACCGAGAUUGGUGACUGUUCCUGCGCUUCGGCGUUCGGUAACAGACACUUGUGUUCCCGAUCGACUGCCCGGCGGUAAAAGAAAUGGUAUAAAGCCGCACGCUUAUUGUGCGUUCAGGCUCGUCGCAAGCACGAUCAUAGCUCGGUGUGCGGACCCAGUGCCGUACUCGGGACUGAUCAGCUGUUGGUCGACGAUGUUCUCGAACAGGCUUAAAUUCGAACGUUUUUUUGAAAUAUUGAAUACCUAUCGGCGACGCUAUUGCUUUGGGUACUUUCAGGACCCGUCUUGAAACACGGACCAAGGAGUCUAACAUGUGCGCGAGUCAUUGGGAUUAAAUAAUACCUAAAGGCGCAUUGAAAGAAAAAUUGGUCGGCCUCGCGUCGACCAUAGGGAGGAUGGGUCGCGUCACGAUGCGACCCCGCACUCCCGGGGCGUCUCUUUUCUUUUUAAGAAUCUAGAGGCGCACCAAGAGCGUACACGUUGGGACCCGAAAGAUGGUGAACUAUGCCUGGUCAGGACGAAGUCAGGGGAAACCCUGAUGGAGGUCCGUAGCGAUUCUGACGUGCAAAUCGAUCGUCGGAACUGGGUAUAG